CCUCUGUGCUUGACAGUGACUGCCUCUGAAGGAGUUGGGAAGGUUCCCACUGUGGCUGUUGAAGUUGCAAAGGACACUUGGCUCCUGCAAUCCAUCAGUGGUCCAGCAUCUGUUUGUUGGGGAGUCCCAGAUACAACAUAGAACCUUCUCACCACCCUUCCUGGCCAUGAGGACUGUUACUCCUUCAGUGAGAACCCAGAACAGCUGAUCCCCAUGGAGAGGAAGAAUCAGGAGCUGAGCUUCCAUUUCUAAGGGAAGGUGGUUAGGGCAUGUGUGGAUGAUUAGGAGUUACUGCAGGAGGAUUACAGGGUGUGUAGAGGGGCAUGUCAGUCUCAGUAUUGUGGCUGGUUCCACCAUCUGGGGCUAAGGUUCUGUGUAGGGAACUGGUUCUUUCUGAGUUGACUGGGGGACUGAGAAGAUCCAGGACCCUUAAUUCUAUAGAUGGGUCAUUCCUUCCUGAGCCCACAGUCCUGUCCACAGGGUCACCUUGCAGAGCACUGUACUAAGUGCUUUGGGGAGUAGAAUGCAACUGAUGUAGUACACCUGUUGCCUACCACCCUCACUCAUCCACCUCAGCACAUC